rnacentral:lncRNA from 12 species
AUGCCUACGCUGGACCAGCUUGUAGUUUGCAGUUCUCAGGAUGAAAACAAGAAGCCAAGAGAGGAAACAAUUUCCAAAAGUCUUUCCUCACAGACAAGAAAUGAACUAAGCGAAACACCAAGAGGAUUGGGGCCAGCCCUGCGAGGAGAAACUUCAUGCACUAAAUCGAGCUGCUGUUCUUUGCCAGAUGCUCAGCUAGGCUCCGAAGACACAGCGAUGAAUGAAGCAGACAGGGUGCAAGGCCUCGUGGGACCAAUACGCCAUUGAGGAAGGCAGAUACUAAACAAAUGGAGGACAAGUUUAGGAAGCUGUAAGAGGCUAUCACAGGGGGUCCGAGGACUGUGUCUGAGGAAGUGGCUCCAGGCUGAGAUCUGAAGGACCAGAGAGCAUUAGUCAAAUGACAAGGGGCUGCCAUUGCGAAGACCCUACUCCUUCAUUUAUUCUCCAACUUCACUGCUGGAAACACUCCUUUAAUUAUUUUGACAACCUUUACUCACAGUGACUCCGGUCGUCUAGUAAUUCUCUGAAGGCUGAACAGUCUGUGCAGAUAAGGUGAGUCUGCAAAUAUUUUUUCUCUUCAUGCUACAGAGGCAUCUUCCAGACCCCAAGAUGUAGGUCAGCUGGCACGUCCUGAGUGUUUGCAGAUGCUGUGAAGAGGCUUUUCAUAUGGUUUGGUUUGCAGUUAACCUUGGACAGUGUUCACAUGAAGCUACCAGUGACCUUUAAGCUGUCAAAUAUAGUGUCUUUG